UCUGGUGCUUCCACCGGCGGGGACACACCUGUUCCCAUCCCGAACACAGUCGUUAAGCCUGCCAGGGCCGAUGAUACUCCCAAGGGGGAAAGUAGGUCAGUGCCAGUU
rnacentral:rRNA from 1 species